rfam:Schistosoma mattheei strain Denwood, Zambia genome assembly, scaffold: SMTD_scaffold0008737
GCACUGCGGAGGAGUCCCAUACUAGGACGAAACGGCCGUCCAGUGC